rnacentral:rRNA from 1 species
UACGUAGGGUGCGAGCGUUGUCCGGAAUUACUGGGCGUAAAGAGCUCGUAGGUGGUUUGUCGCGUUGUCCGUGAAAACUCACAACUCAAUUGUGGGCGUGCGGGCGAUACGGGCAGACUGGAGUACUGCAGGGGAGACUGGAAUUCCUGGUGUAGCGGUGGAAUGCGCAGAUAUCGGGAAGAACACCUAUGGCGGAGGCAGCUCUCUGGGACGGUACUGACGCUGAGGCGCGAAGGCGUGGGGAGCGAACGGG